UACGUAGGGUGCAAGCGUUGUCCGGAAUUAUUGGGCGUAAAGGGCUCGUAGGCGGCCAACUAAGUCAGACGUGAAAUCCCUCGGCUUAACCGGGGAACUGCAUCUGAUACUGGAUGGCUUGAGUUCGGGAGAGGGAUGUGGAAUUCCAGGUGUAGCGGUGGAAUGCGUAGAUAUCUGGAGGAACACCGGUGGCGAAGGCGGCAUCCUGGACCGACACUGACGCUGAGGAGCGAAAGCCAGGGGAGCAAACGGG
rnacentral:rRNA from 1 species